AAUUCAGAUUCCAAAGUUCUGUAUUUUUUUCAAAAUAAAGAUCACACAUUGUUUAGAGACAAUCUACACAAGAGUUACAAAAAAUAGUUGCCCAGGCAUAAGCAUACACAGGUUUGUUAAUUAUACACAUAUGGUUACAAGUGUGCUUGCAAAAAGUUCAUUGGAAAUAUACACAAGGCUCUGGAAAUGUACACCGUGUAGUGUUACAGUCUAUAUUCAAACGAGGAUUGACAGUAUGUUACAUUCACUUACAAGUAGACAAAAUGCAAAAUACAGCUCAUCUGUACAAAACGGAGGGUGAGUCACUUUACAAGGGGAGGUCAUCUCCAAAGAGCGUCAUAAACUCCGUAUCACAGGCUGAUGCUUUAGCAACUCGGAAACGUUCCCAUUUCAUAUGUAUAUAUGUAUAUAUAUAUAUAUAUUUUAUAAACAGUGUUAAAUGCCAGUUUGAGAUUAUUUAACUAAAAUUC
rnacentral:lncRNA from 1 species